UACGAAGGGGGCUAGCGUUGCUCGGAAUUACUGGGCGUAAAGGGCGCGUAGGCGGAUGUUUAAGUCGGGGGUGAAAGCCCGGGGCUCAACCUCGGAAUUGCCUUCGAUACUGGACAUCUUGAGUACGGGAGAGGUGAGUGGAACUCCGAGUGUAGAGGUGAAAUUCGUAGAUAUUCGGAAGAACACCAGUGGCGAAGGCGACUCACUGGCCCGUUACUGACGCUGAGGCGCGAAAGCGUGGGGAGCGAACAGG
rnacentral:rRNA from 1 species